rnacentral:rRNA from 1 species
CCUCGGCGGGAUCUCUGCCCCGGGUGCGUCGCAGCCCCGGACCAAGGCGCCCGCCGGAGGACCAACCAAAACUCUUAUUGUAUACCCCCUCGCGGGUUUUUUUAUAAUCUGAGCCUUCUCGGCGCCUCUCGUAGGCGUUUCGAAAAUGAAUCAAAACUUUCAACAACGGAUCUCUUGGUUCUGGCAUCGAUGAAGAACGCAGCGAAAUGCGAUAAGUAAUGUGAAUUGCAGAAUUCAGUGAAUCAUCGAAUCUUUGAACGCACAUUGCGCCCGCCAGUAUUCUGGCGGGCAUGCCUGUCCGAGCGUCAUUUCAACCCUCGAACCCCUCCGGGGGGUCGGCGUUGGGGAUCGGCCCUGCCUUGGCGGUGGCCGUCUCCGAAAUACAGUGGCGGUCUCGCCGCAGCCUCUCCUGCGCAGUAGUUUGCACACUCGCAUCGGGAGCGCGGCGCGUCCACAGCCGUUAAACACCCAACUUCUGAAAUGUUGACCUCGGAUCAGGUAGGAAUACCCGCUGAACUUAAGCAUAUCAAAAGCCGGGAGGAAAA